rnacentral:rRNA from 1 species
AUUGAACGCUGGCGGCAGGCCUAACACAUGCAAGUCGAGCGGAUGAAGGGAGCUUGCUCCUGGAUUCAGCGGCGGACGGGUGAGUAAUGCCUAGGAAUCUGCCUGGUAGUGGGGGAUAACGUCCGGAAACGGGCGCUAAUACCGCAUACGUCCUGAGGGAGAAAGUGGGGGAUCUUCGGACCUCACGCUAUCAGAUGAGCCUAGGUCGGAUUAGCUAGUUGGUGGGGUAAAGGCCUACCAAGGCGACGAUCCGUAACUGGUCUGAGAGGAUGAUCAGUCAAACGGGAACUGGGAACCGGCCCAGACCCCUAGGGGAGGCAGAGGGGGGGAAUAUUGGACAAGGGGGGAAAGCCUGAUCCAGCCAUGCCGGGGGUGUGAAGAAGGUCUGCGGAUUGUAAAGCACUUUAAGUUGGGGGGAAGGGCAGUAAGUUAAAACCUGGCUGUUUUGACGUUACCAAAAAAAUAAGCCCCGGCUAACUUCGU